rnacentral:rRNA from 1 species
UACUGUGAGCUCGAUGAGUAGGGCGGGACACGUGGUAUCCUGUCUGAAUAUGGGGGGACCAUCCUCCAAGGCUAAAUACUCCUGACUGACCGAUAGUGAACCAGUACCGUGAGGGAAAGGCGAAAAGAACCCCGGCGAGGGGAGUGAAAAAGAACCUGAAACCGUGUACGUACAAGCAGUGGGAGCACAGAGCAAUCUGUGUGACUGCGUACCUUUUGUAUAAUGGGUCAGCGACUUAUAUUCUGUAGCAAGGUUAACCGAAUAGGGGAGCCGAAGGGAAACCGAGUCUUAACUGGGCGUUAAGUUGCAGGGUAUAGACCCGAAACCCGGUGAUCUAGCCAUGGGCAGGUUGAAGGUUGGGUAACACUAACUGGAGGACCGAACCGACUAAUGUUGAAAAAUUAGCGGAUGACUUGUGGCUGGGGGUGAAAGGCCAAUCAAACCGGGAGAUAGCUGGUUCUCCCCGAAAGCUAUUUAGGUAGCGCCUCGUGAAUUCAUCUCCGGGGGUAGAGCACUGUUUCGGCAAGGGGGUCAUCCCGACUUACCAACCCGAUGCAAACUGCGAAUACCGGAGAAUGUUAUCACGGGAGACACACGGCGGGUGCUAACGUCCGUCGUGAAGAGGGAAACAACCCAGACCGCCAGCUAAGGUCCCAAAGUCAUGGUUAAGUGGGAAACGAUGUGGGAAGGCCCAGACAGCCAGGAUGUUGGCUUAGAAGCAGCCAUCAUUUAAAGAAAGCGUAAUAGCUCACUGGUCGAGUCGGCCUGCGCGGAAGAUGUAACGGGGCUAAACCAUG